rnacentral:rRNA from 1 species
GAUUGAACGCUGGCGGCAGGCCUAACACAUGCAAGUCGAACGGUAACAGGAAGCAGCUUGCUGCUUUGCUGACGAGUGGCGGACGGGUGAGUAAUGUCUGGGAAACUGCCUGAUGGAGGGGGAUAACUACUGGAAACGGUGGCUAAUACCGCAUAAYGUCGCAAGACCAAAGAGGGGGACCUUCGGGCCUCUUGCCAUCAGAUGUGCCCAGAUGGGAUUAGCUUGUUGGUGAGGUAACGGCUCACCAAGGCGACGAUCCCUAGCUGGUCUGAGAGGAUGACCAGCCACACUGGAACUGAGACACGGUCCAGACUCCUACGGGAGGCAGCAGUGGGGAAUAUUGCACAAUGGGCGCAAGCCUGAUGCAGCCAUGCCGCGUGUAUGAAGAAGGCCUUCGGGUUGUAAAGUACUUUCAGCGGGGAGGAAGGUGUUGUGGUUAAUAACCGCAGC